CUCCAGUGGGAUGAACAGACAAACCCCACAAGCACUGCAUACGACAGGGUCUCACUACAUUACCCAGGCUGGUCUCGAGCUCCUGGCCUCAAGCGAUCCUCCCAUCUCAGCCUCCUGAGUAGCUUGGAUUACAGGCACAAGCCAUCAUGACUGGCUUCCUCUUUUUUUUUUUUUUUAAUGAAUAUGGUAAAGUGCACAAAUCAUAAAUUUCAGCGUGGUGAAUUUCUACACAUGUAUACCCAUGUAUCCACCAUGCAGACCAGAAGAACAUAUUUGUCCCUCCAGGAAAUUCCCAAAUGCUCUUUCUCAGUCAAUAUCCUCCAAUUUGACAUUUUCAUCAUAGAUUAGUUUUGCCUACCCCUGAACUUUGUGUAAGUGGAAAUACAUGGUUUGGCAUCUUGCUUUUAUGCAACAUUGUAUCUGUGAGAAUCUAUUGUCAUGUCUGUUUUCCUGUUCUUUUUCUUUGUUGUAUAAUAUUCCAUUGUGGAGAUGUAUCACAAUGUAUUUAUCUUACUGCUGAUAGAUAUUUGAGUUGUUUGCAGUGAAUGGUUAUUGUAGAUAAAGCAGCUAUGAACAUCCUUGUACAUGUCUUUUGAUGAACAUAAGUUUACCUCUUGUGGGGAUGUGGACAGGGUCUCACUCAGUAACUC
rnacentral:lncRNA from 1 species